GCACUAUAGUUUAAUUACAAUACGAAAAAUGCCUGGGUGUGCAGCCGUUGGAUGCACAAAUUCAAAUAAAAAAGGAUUUCUAAUGAAACAUUUUCCUAAAGAUGCUGCCAGAARGAAAAUGUGGCUGGUAAAAAUGAAGAGGGAUAAUUGGGUACCAACAAAUUACUCAUGCUUGUGUGAAAUAAGUAGACUACCUAGUUACCUAUCUCAUAAGUAAUACAUAUAUUAGAUGUCCAAUUACUGAAUAAUGUUAUUACAGUGYCUUGAAAGAAUCUAUCAAUCCAGAAGUCUCCAAUUAUAGUUUUUAAUUUUUAGUAAAUAAAUAACUAAUCCUACACAUAUUUUGAGUGAAAUAGAUUGGCUAUUUUCAUCUAUUCAACCGGGCUACAGAAAAAUAAAUUAAGAAAUUAUUUUAAAUCUAUAUGAAAUUUAACAAUAUAUUGUAAAAUCAAUUACUAAUGCAGGGUUGCAUGAAACAUCACUAAAUUUUUAACGAAUCAAUAGUGAGCUAAUGGUUCCUUWAACAUGAUUUAGUGGCUUAUUAWUUGUCCAUUAAAUGUUAUUACUUAUUGAACCAUUAAAUAAUUA